GACGAACGCUGGCGGCGUGCUUAACACAUGCAAGUCGAACGGUAAGGCCCUUCGGGGUACACGAGUGGCGAACGGGUGAGUAACACGUGGGUGAUCUGCCCUGCACUUCGGGAUAAGCCUGGGAAACUGGGUCUAAUACCGGAUAGGACCACUGCCUGCAUGGGUGGUGGUGGAAAGCUUUUGCGGUGUGGGAUGGGCCCGGGGCCUAUCAGCUUGUUGGUGGGGUGAGGGCCUACCAAGGCGACGACGGGUAGCCGGCCUGGGAGGGGGACCGGCCACACUGGGAAUGAGAUACGGCCCAGACUGCUACGGGAGGCAGCAGUGGGGAAUAUUGCACAAUGGGCGCAAGGCUGAUUCAGCAACGCCGCGUGAGGGAUGACGGCCUUCGGGUUGUAAACCUCUUUUAGCAGGGAAGAAGCGAAAGUGACGGUACCUGCAGAAAAAGCACCGGCUAACUACGUGCCAGCAGCCGCGGUAA
rnacentral:rRNA from 1 species